rnacentral:rRNA from 1 species
AUUGAACGCUGGCGGCAGGCCUAACACAUGCAAGUCGAGCGAGAGGCGGACGGGGGAGUAAUGUAUGGGAAACUGCCUGAUGGAGGGGGAGAAAUACUGGAAAAGGUAGCUAAUACAGCAUACCAUCAGAUGUGCCCAGAUGGGAUUAGAUAGGAGGUGGGGUAACGGCUCACCUAGGCGAGGAUACCUAGCUGGUCUGAGAGGAUGACCAGACCCACUGGAACUGCUACCCGGUCCAGACUCCUACGGGAGGCAGCAGGGGGGAAUAGUGCACAAUUGGCGGAAGCCUGAUGCAGCCAUGCCGCGUGUAUGAAGAAGGCCUUCGGGUUGUAAAGUACUUUCAGCGAGGAGGCGUUACCCGCAGAAGAAGCACCGGCUAACUCCGUGCCAGCAGCCGCGGUAAUAC